CAUCCUUCCAUUUAACGGUGAC
rnacentral:siRNA from 1 species